UACAGAGGGUGCGAGCGUUAAUCGGAAUUACUGGGCGUAAAGGGUGCGUAGGUGGUUACGUAAGUUAGAUGUGAAAGCCUCGGGCUCAACCUGAGAAUUGCGUUUAAUACUGUGUAGCUAGAGUGUUGUAGAGGUAAGUGGAAUUUCCGGUGUAGCGGUGAAAUGCGUAGAUAUCGGAAGGAACACCAGUGGCGAAGGCGACUUACUGGACAACAACUGACACUGAGGCACGAAAGCAUGGGGAGCAAACAGG
rnacentral:rRNA from 1 species